rnacentral:rRNA from 1 species
UACGUAGGGUGCAAGCGUUGUCCGGAAUUACUGGACGUAAAGCGCACGUAGGCGGAAUGUUAAGUCAGGGGUGAAAUCCCGGGGCUCAACCCCGGAACUGCCUUUGAUACUGGCAUUCUCGAGUCCGGAAGAGGUGAGGGGAAUUCCGAGUGUAGAGGUGAAAUUCGUAGAUAUUCGGAGGAACACCAGUGGCGAAGGCGGCUCACUGGUCCGGUACUGACGCUGAGGUGCGAAAGCGUGGGGAGCAAACAGG